rnacentral:sRNA from 1 species
UAUAAUCAUUGUUAGAUGAGGCUCCUAUACUGGAAAUAUGCUACUGCCGCGAAAUGUCGAGAGACGCCAAGCUGGUUAAACAAAAUAAAUCGUGAAGGUUUAUUUCAAUGUAGCUAGAAAAUUUUCUUACGCCGUAUAGUGCUAAAGUUCAACGAUAGGCUAAUGUGC